rnacentral:rRNA from 1 species
GACGAACGCUGGCGGCGUGCCUAAUACAUGCAAGUAGAACGCUGAAGGAGGAGCUUGCUCUUCUGGAUGAGUUGCGAACGGGUGAGUAACGCGUAGGUAACCUGCCUGGUAGCGGGGGAUAACUAUUGGAAACGAUAGCUAAUACCGCAUAACAUUGACUAUUGCAUGAUAGUCAAUUGAAAGGUGCAAAUGCACCACUACCAGAUGGACCUGCGUUGUAUUAGCUAGUUGGUGGGGUAACGGCUCACCAAGGCGACGAUACAUAGCCGACCUGAGAGGGUGAUCGGCCACACUGGGACUGAGACACGGCCCAGACUCCUACGGGAGGCAGCAGUAGGGAAUCUUCGGCAAUGGACGAAAGUCUGACCGAGCAACGCCGCGUGAGUGAAGAAGGUUUUCGGAUCGUAAAGCUCUGUUGUAAGAGAAGAACGAGUGUGAGAGUGGAAAGUUCACACUGUGACG